rnacentral:lncRNA from 10 species
GUGGAGUACUCACCUACCUGCUGCAUGAAGGCAGCAUGGAGGGACUGUGGUGGAUUAUCUGCAAAGAUGGCCAAAAUUCUCUCAUCCCUGCAGGCACAUACAAGAUGCCAGAAUCAGUCAAAACUAAGCUCACUGUCCUUGCUAAUAUUCUGCCCCAGAGAAGAACUGAAGCUCAGCUCUUCACCCUACAGAAAGCCUGAAUUUUGUAAAUGUUCUGCUUAGAAUGAGGAAGAAAGAUGAAGAAUGAGGAGGAAGAAGGAAGGAACGAGAGAGAGCCAGGUUUCCAGAAGUUCCCCAGUCAUUGAGCAUUUCUGAGGCUCUUGAUGCAUAUGCCAAGUAGUUAUGGAGAAAGACACAGCAGCUUACCUCUGCAGGCAUCAUUGUGUGAAAGGAAGACCCAGGCUCUCUCACCACCCUUGAACAGAAGCCUUUUGCUAAGGUGAUAGCUACAUGUCCAAGCCUAUUGCGUGGCAUGCAUUUUGCCUUCUGCAGCCCACUAAAGGAGUUUGCAGUUCACCCGCAAACCUCAGCGAUCCAAGCUCCCCUGGAUGACCAUCACUCACCAAGAAAAGAGCAAUAACAGGACCUGUUUUGCUAAUCCAGGACUGUUCUCCAGCACUAACUCUAAAUAAUCCCUUCUGCUAGAGUCCACUUUCUGGAACCUGUUGCCUCCGUUUUCAACGUUUCCCAAACUUGGUCCGUUGUGUGAGCUGGCUGAUAAAAGUUCCAGGGAGAAGACAUCUUACUCUUAUUGGAUCAUGCACAGUGCCUGAAGCAUUCUGUUGCAUGUAGAAGUCAGUAAAUUGCAGAUGUAA